rnacentral:rRNA from 1 species
UACAGAGGGGGCAAGCGUUGUUCGGAAUUACUGGGCGUAAAGGGCGCGUAGGCGGCCUGUUAAGUCGAACGUGAAAUCCCCGGGCUCAACCCGGGAACUGCGUCCGAUACUGGCAGGCUUGAAUCCGGGAGAGGGAUGUGGAAUUCCAGGUGUAGCGGUGAAAUGCGUAGAUAUCUGGAGGAACACCUGUGGCGAAGGCGGCUAUCUGGUCCAAUUCUGACGCUGAGGCGCGAAAGGUAGGGGAGCAAACAGG